AAGAAAAAUUUGAAUCAUGGCAUUAUUUAUAAUUGAAGAAAAUUGAAAAAAAAAAACCCUGAUGUUUAAAAUUAGAAAACAGGUCGGCUCUGGUAACUGUACUAAAUAAAAUGUUUUGCAGCCUCUUAAAGGAAUGUUUACGCAGGGCUUUACCCUGACGAGAAGGAGACCCAGCGGAAGGGAAGUGUGGAGACCUAGGAAAUAUCAACAGUCACGAGGCGCUGUUACCUCUAAUUGUGGGAGAAGGUGCAGCUCGUGUAAGGAGUGCAUUUAGGAGUCUGGACACUGAAGGGGGUGUAAGUCAGAGAAGCAAACGCACUGUGUCCUCUUCAACGCCGGAUGCUCUGCAUCGCUGGAUUACCCGAAGCUGCUCUAAGAGGGACCCAACCGUGAAAGUCAUCUCCGAGGGUCUGAAAGCCGUCAUGUACCCAUUUCGAAGAAAGUCUCAUUCUCACAGCGAACUUACCCAUGACUAAUACAAGAGCUGCUUUUGAGCAUUGA